UACGAAGGGGGCUAGCGUUGUUCGGAAUUACUGGGCGUAAAGCGUGCGCAGGCGGCCUUUCAAGUCAGUGGUGAAAGCCCGGAGCUCAACUCCGGAACUGCCAUUGAAACUGUUUGGCUUGAGUACGAGAGAGGUGAGUGGAAUUCCCAGUGUAGAGGUGAAAUUCGUAGAUAUUGGGAAGAACACCGGUGGCGAAGGCGGCUCACUGGCUCGUAACUGACGCUCAUGCACGACAGCGUGGGGAUCAAACAGG
rnacentral:rRNA from 1 species